rnacentral:rRNA from 1 species
AGAGUGAACGCUGGCGGCAGGCCUAACACAUGCAAGUCGAACGGCAGCACAGGAGAGCUUGCUCUCUGGGUGGCGAGUGGCGGACGGGUGAGGAAUACGUCGGAAUCUGCCUAUUUGUGGGGGAUAACGUAGGGAAACUUACGCUAAUACCGCAUACGACCUACGGGUGAAAGCGGAGGACCUUCGGGCUUCGCGCAGAUAGAUGAGCCGACGUCGGAUUAGCUAGUUGGCGGGGUAAAGGCCCACCAAGGCGACGAUCCGUAGCUGGUCUGAGAGGAUGAUCAGCCACACUGGAACUGAGACACGGUCCAGACUCCUACGGGAGGCAGCAGUGGGGAAUAUUGGACAAUGGGACGCAAGCCUGACUCCAGCCCAUGCCGCGUGUGUGAAGAAGGCCUUGGUGUAAGUCACGUUUUGAACGGAAGAAAGCGUACGUGGUUAAUACCCGU